rnacentral:rRNA from 1 species
CCUGGUUGAUCCUGCCAGUAGUCAUAUGCUUGUC